GACGAACGCUGGCGGCGUGCUUAACGCAUGCAAGUCGAACGGAGCACCCUUGACUGAGGUUUCGGCCAAAUGAUAGGAAUGCUUAGUGGCGGACUGGUGAGUAACGCGUGAGGAACCUGCCUUUCAGAGGGGGACAACAGUUGGAAACGACUGCUAAUACCGCAUGACGCAUUUUGAUCGCGUGGUCGAAAUGCUAAAGAUUUAUCGCUGAAAGAUGGCCUCGCGUCUGAUUAGCUAGUUGGUGAGGUAACGGCCCACCAAGGCGACGAUCAGUAGCCGGACUGAGAGGUUGACCGGCCACAUUGGGACUGAGAUACGGCCCAGACUCCUACGGGAGGCAGCAGUGGGGAAUAUUGGGCAAUGGGCGCAAGCCUGACCCAGCAACGCCGCGUGAAGGAAGAAGGCUUUCGGGUUGUAAACUUCUUUUAAGUGGGAAGAGCAGAAGACGGUACCACUUGAAUAAGCCACGGCUAACUACGUGCCAGCAGCCGCCGCGG
rnacentral:rRNA from 1 species